UUUUAAUUAUUUAUUAUUACUUUAAAAUUAUAUAAAUUAUUUAAAAAUUAAGGUCCUUUCGUACAAUUAAUUUAUUUUUUAUUAUAGAUAGAAACCAAUCUGACUUACGUCGAUUUGAACUCAAAUCAUGUAAGAUUUUAAAAGUCGAACAGACUUAAAUAAUUAAACUCCUGCAUUUAAUUUUUAUCUUAAUUCAACAUCGAGGUCGCAAUCAUCUUUAUCAAUAAGGUCUAUCAAAAGAUAUUACGCUGUUAUCCCUAAGGUAAUUUAUUCUUUUAAUUAUAAAUUAUAGAUCAAUAUUAAAUCUUUUAAUCAAAAUUAUAUUUAAAAAUAAAGUUUAUUAAAUUUAUUAAUCCUCCCAAUCAAAUUUAAAUUUAUUAUUUUAUUUAAAAAUAAAAUUUAAAUUAAAUAAUAAUUUAAAUAAAAUUCUAUAGGGUCUUAUCGUCCCAUAAUUAAAUUUUAGAAUUUUAACUAAAAAUUUAAGUUCAUUUUAUAAUUUAGAGACAGUAAUUAUUUCAUCAAUUCGUUCAUUCAAUUCUUCAAUUAAAAGACAAUUUAUUAUGCUACCUUUGUACAGUCAAAAUACUGCAGCUAUUUAAAAUUAAUUCAUGGAGCAGAUCGACUUAAAAUUAUAUUCAAUAAGACAUGUUUUUGUUAAACAGGUGAAUAAUAUAUUUGCCGAGUUCCUUUAAAUUAUAUACUAUUAUUAUUAUAUUUUAAAAUAAUUUUUAUUACUAAUUUAAUCAUUAUUUCUAUAUUUUAAAAAUUUUAAUAUAUAUUUUUAUAAAAAAAAAUAAAAUUUAAAUUUAAAUCUUUUUAAUUAAAAAUUAAAUUAUUAAAUUUUUUAAAUUAAAAAAAAAUAUUAUAUCCAUAAUAUUAAAAUUAUAAAUUAUAAAUUUUUAUUAAUAAAUUUAUAGUUUAUCCCAUAAAUUUUUAAUAUAAAAUUUAAUAAAUUAAAAUAAAAUUUAAUUUAUUAAAAAUUUUAUAUCUAAAUUAAAUUUAUUUCUAAAAAAACUAGAUAUUAAUAAGUUCGUUUAACAUUUAAUUUCUAAAUUUAUAUUUAUAAUUUUAUUUCUACAAAAAAAAUAAUAUAAAUUUAGCUCUCUUAUUUUCGAGAUAAUUAAAUUUUUAAAUUAUUUUUAAUCAACCCUGAUACAAAAGGUACAAAUUAAUAUUUUACUUAUUUAUAUUUUAAAAAAUUCAUUUACAUUACUAUUAUUAUAAAUUUUAAAAUUAUUUCAUAAUUAAUUAAUUAAACUUAAAAUUAUUGUAAAAUUUUAUUUAUUAUACUUUUUUUUUUCAAAUAAAAAAAUUUAUUAUAUUAAUAC
rnacentral:rRNA from 1 species